UAGUGGUUUAUUAACAAAGAAUCAUUAUGCUAGAUAGUUAACGUGAAACAUUACUUUGUAAUAAAAAAAUACUAACUUUUCUGCCUUGUGAUCUCUACUAGUUUUCAUAAUCUUUGCCAGCAGGUGGAGGCAAGGAACACUGAUACAGAUCCCCGGGAACAACUUGCCAGGUUGAUAACCUGGGGGUUUUUUGUCUUUAUUUUUUUCCCAUAAUUCCAAUUAAUAAAUUCACUCCUUGUUGGUCAUUUUUACUUGCUACAGUAAUGUUAUCUGUAAAAUUAUAAUUCAGUAUACCUAAUUUAUUUAAUCACAGAUCUCAGGACUCCUGCAGUCACUGCUGUACAUUAGUGGUGUUGUCUCCAUCUACUGGCAAAGAAGAAUAUACACAAGGGUCUGGGAUGAGCUAAGAGAUUUUGGAGAAACCACAUUAUUAGGUAAGAUGUAACUUAACAUAUCUAACCACUGUAAUGUAAUAUGGCUCAUUUAGAGGUAGAAACCCAUAAAAUAUUGUAUACACUCUUAUUUUAAAAUAAUUUGUUGAGGUGAAUUUUACAUAGCACAUCCAUGGCGCUUACUUAUCUAUAUGUUCUUAAAUAUAUCUGUUCUGUAGCAUCCCAUUCUCGUGUGUGCGUAUGUGUGUCUAUGAGUAUGUGUGUCAGUGAGUGUAUAAGAAUUAGCUUCUUGCUGUGGAUCAAGGCAAGAUAAGUAUCCUCUUUUGGAGUUUACUUUUAGUUUGUGUUUAGCCUGUAAAGGUUCAUCUAUAUCUAAUUUCAAUUCUACCUUUUAUUUUUCUUUCACUUCAAAACAGUUUCAAGUUUUAGAUUUUAUGUUAAAUCUACAUUAAUAAUUAUCUAAAUCAGGAGUUUUAGAUUUUAUGGCUAUUGUUGCAACCACUUUUUCUGCUGUUCCAACCUGAAACGAACCAUCCAUGCAAAGGAGAUGAGCAGAAGUGGUGGCCUACACCUGUAAUCCAGCACUGCAGUCCCAGUACAGGGGAGGCUGUGGCAGGAAGAUCAUUGGUUUGAGGCCAGAGUGGGCUACAUAGUGAGACCCUGUCUCAAAAAUUAUUCAAAAAUAUGGUUGUGUUCGAAUAAAAUUUAAUAUUUUAAAAAGUAAGUGGUAGGCUAUAAUUGGCUAACAGGCCCUAAUUUGCUGACCUAUGAUCUAAUAAUUAUGAGUAUAUACUAUAAAUUUAUAAACUUAAAUUCUUAGGGGGAAGUAAUCCAAUAUUCGUUGGAAUUCUUAUUUUUAUAAUGAAAAUUUGAUAAUGAUCUAGUAAUAGGCUUUCUUAAGAUUGAGGGAAUUUCCAGGUAGUUACUAUACUUUAGUUUACCAUACCUCAUAAUAUGUACUCUUCUUACUUUGGUGAAUAGGGGUUAGUUUAGAUAAUACUACCCUUAGAAUUUUCAGACAGACGAAUUGUUCAAGUCUAAAUUUAGUAUUUACAUGUCUAUUUCUUAUGGAGAAAUAACAAAAGGUCCAUCUCAAAGGUGACCAGUUACUCCUGAUGAUAGAUGAAGUAGACAGACUCGUUUGUGUAUAUAAGAAAUAUGAAAGAACUGACUUGAAAGUGAGGGUUUUAGACUCAUAAAAGGUACAGAUUAUUUGAAUUGCUGUACUUUUUAAUAAAUACACAUUUUUCCUAAAAAAAAAAAAAGAUUGUUG